UACGGAGGGUGCAAGCGUUAUCCGGAUUUACUGGGUUUAAAGGGUGCGUAGGUGGGCAGUUAAGUCAGUGGUGAAAUCUCCGAGCUUAACUCGGAAACUGCCAUUGAUUCUAUCUGUCUUGAAUAUCCUGGAGGUGAGCGGAAUAUGUCAUGUAGCGGUGAAAUGCUUAGAUAUGACAUAGAACACCAAUUGCGAAGGCAGCUCACUACGGGAUUAUUGACACUGAGGCACGAAAGCGUGGGGAUCAAACAGG
rnacentral:rRNA from 1 species